UACGUAGGGUGCGAGCGUUAAUCGGAAUUACUGGGCGUAAAGCGUGCGCAGGCGGGCUUUUAAGCCAGACGUGAAAUCCCCGGGCUUAACCUGGGAAUGGCGUUUGGGACUGGAAGUCUGGAGUGCGGCAGAGGAGACUGGAAUUCCUGGUGUAGCGGUGAAAUGCGCAGAUAUCAGGAAGAACACCCGUGGCGAAGGCGGCUCUCUGGGACGGUACUGACGCUGAGACGCGAAAGCGUGGGGAGCGAACAGG
rnacentral:rRNA from 1 species